UGGAAAAACGACUUGUUGCUCAUUUCCAAGAUGGAAAGGUAGUCUCUCAACUGCUGGAUCACGAUACUGAAGAUCAAACUGAAAUAUCCUCCAACAUGCUUCUGAUGUUGAUAUGUAUCUCAUCUCUAGGUACUUGAUUGAUCUGGACCUAUUGCACCACUCGACAUUUAUAUGAGCUUGAAAUUUGACCAGAAGAUUCCGGUUGUAUGGCACGACAAAUCUGUUGUCGAGCAUCACUCCUCCCUUUUUGAUCUGCCUUCCGUCAUCCCUCCUUUUAUAUACUGUAAACCCAUCCUCGUCAAUGGUAGUACUGACAUUGUAUCUUUUUGGGAAAUGCUUGGUGCAUCUAUGGUCCACCAUGCAUGGUGAGUUUUUCUUAGCCUCUCCGCACGGGCCAUGCAUCAUGAAGUUCUCAACAGCUUCAAAUGCCUCCGGAUCCUCAUCCUUGUUUGGGAUCUCAGCGCUUAUUAUUUUGUCGA